AUUGAACGCUGGCGGCAGGCUUAACACAUGCAAGUCGAGCGAGCGGCGGACGGGUGAGUAAUGUCUGGGAAACUGCCUUAUGGAGGGGGAUAACUACUGGAAACUGUAGCUAAUACCGCAUACCAUCAGAUGUGCCCAGAUGGGAUUAGCUAGUAGGUGGGGUAAUGGCUCACCUAGGCGACGAUCCCUAGCUGGUCUGAGAGGAUGACCAGCCACACUGGGAAUGAGACACGGCCCAGAAUCCUACGGGAGGCAGCAGUGGGGAAUAUUGCACAAUGGGGGCAAGCCUGACGCAGCCAUGCCGCGUGAGUGAAGAAGGCCUUCGGGUUGUAAAGUACUUUCAGCGAGGAGGCGUUAAUCACAGAAGAAGCACCGGCUAACUCCGUGCCAGCAGCCGCGGUAAUUC
rnacentral:rRNA from 1 species